UACGAAGGGUGCAAGCGUUAAUCGGAAUUACUGGGCGUAAAGCGCGCGUAGGUGGUUCAGUAAGUUGGAGGUGAAAUCCCCGGGCUCAACCUGGGAACUGCUUUCAAAACUGCUGAGCUAGAGUACGGUAGAGGGUGGUGGAAUUUCCUGUGUAGCGGUGAAAUGCGUAGAUAUAGGAAGGAACACCAGUGGCGAAGGCGACCACCUGGACUGAUACUGACACUGAGGUGCGAAAGCGUGGGGAGCAAACAGG
rnacentral:rRNA from 1 species